GAGGAAUAUUGGUCAAUGGACGAGAGUCUGAACCAGCCAAGUAGCGUGAAGGAUGACUGCCCUAUGGGUUGUAAACUUCUUUUAUACGGGAAUAAAGUUAGCCACGUGUGGCUUUUUGUAUGUACCGUAUGAAUAAGGAUCGGCUAACUCCGUGCCAGCAGCCGCGGUAAUACGGAGGAUCCGAGCGUUAUCCGGAUUUAUUGGGUUUAAAGGGAGCGUAGGCGGGUUGUUAAGUCAGUUGUGAAAGUUUGCGGCUCAACCGUAAAAUUGCAGUUGAUACUGGCGACCUUGAGUGCAACAGAGGUAGGCGGAAUUCGUGGUGUAGCGGUGAAAUGCUUAGAUAUCACGAAGAACUCCGAUUGCGAAGGCAGCUUACUGGAUUGUAACUGACGCUGAUGCUCGAAAGUGUGGGUAUCAAACAGGAUUAGAUACCCUGGUAGUCCACACAGUAAACGAUGAAUACUCGCUGUUGGCGAUAUACGGUCAGCGGCCAAGCGAAAGCAUUAAGUAUUCCACCUGGGGAGUACGCCGGCAACGGUGAAACUCAAAGGAAUUGACGGGGGCCCGCACAAGCGGAGGAACAUGUGGUUUAAUUCGAUGAUACGCGAGGAACCUUACCCGGGCUUAAAUUGCAACUGACUGAACCGGAAACGGUUCUUUCUUCGGACAGUUGUGAAGGUGCUGCAUGGUUGUCGUCAGCUCGUGCCGUGAGGUGUCGGCUUAAGUGCCAUAACGAGCGCAACCCUUAUCGAUAGUUACUAGCAGGUCAUGCUGAGAACUCUAUUGAGACUGCCGUCGUAAGAUGUGAGGAAGGUGGGGAUGACGUCAAAUCAGCACGGCCCUUACGUCCGGGGCUACACACGUGUUACAAUGGGGGGUACAGAAGGCAGCUACACGGCGACGUGGUGCUAAUCCCGAAAGCCUCUCUCAGUUCGGAUUGGAGUCUGCAACCCGACUCCAUGAAGCUGGAUUCGCUAGUAAUCGCGCAUCAGCCACGGCGCGGUGAAUACGUUCCCG
rnacentral:rRNA from 1 species